rnacentral:lncRNA from 1 species
AACAAACUUGUGGGCUGAGUGGCAGCAUUACAAGCAUUGCAGGAUCCAAAUUCAGGCGCUUGGCACCUGGCUCACAUUUACGACCGUCGGAGUGUCCCUGGGGGUCACGUGAAGUGAUCCCCUUUUGCGACCUUCUGAUAAGCCAGUGGGGAAGCCAGAUUUGCUUAACGACCGCAUGAUUCAUGCAGUCAUUAAGCAAAAUGAACAUGCAGCUGUUAGUGAUUUGCUUCUCAACUGUGGGAAGAAAUGUCAGAACUCGCUUGACAAAUGCCUCGCUUAGCAACAGAAAUGCUGGGCCCAAUUGUGGUCGUAAGUCAAGGACUACCUGUAUCAAGGGAGAGUGCUUGAAAUGGGGGCUAGAAACCCUCUCCCCCCUUGUUUUCCCUCUCUGCAGAGCCUGAUGCCGAGGUGGCCCACCUGGAGGAGAACUUCUCCCAGAACGGGUCGCUGCCCCAGACGCCGGAGCCGGAGAGAUACCUCAAGAACCACUUUGAAACUGGCUGGCGACCCCCUUGAAGGUAAACAGGCAGCGGUCUCUGCCAGGCGCAAGAAACCAGGCUGGGGAUGGAGUUCCAAAGCACCACCAGCGCAUUUCAUGCAGCCUGGACUCAGGAAUUCAACCUAAUUUAGGGUCAAGGCUGGUAAUUGGAACCAUAGAAGAGUUUAAAGAUUCUAGAUUUUAACUUAGAUGCUCCUAGACUAGGUAACAUCAUCAGCAAACUCCACUCCCUAUGGGCACUGAUGGUGUUGCCUAGUAGGGUCUUCAAGAAAACCACCCAACUCAGAGAGCACCAAGGACCCCAGAGUUCUCUUCCUCCUCCUCCUUCCCACAAAUCCCACUGUCUUCUACCCCUGAUGAUGUUCCCUAGAUGGGUCAUGAAAUGUUUUCAGGAAAACCACCAAGCGGAGAGAGCGCCAAGGAGCCCACAAAUCAGCCCCGAGCUACCAAAGUUGCCUUCUAUUGGCACUUGGACAAAUUCUCUGCCUUCCUUUUUGUGCACAGAAACGUUUGACGGUUGCAUCAGAGACUGGCAGUCGUUUGGGGAGAGUGAGGACGGAGGGAGCCCGCUUCUGAAUCCUCGCCUGAGCAUCUCCGCCAGGUUUCUCUCGCGCGCUCAGAAGAACUGCAGGUUGGCUGCUUCUGCUCACGCUGGCUCUCCAUUUGUGGGGGCGCUUCGCCUGGAAACCGGCUCUGAGGUGCUUCUCUUCCCUACAGAUUUGCGGCUGCAUUUUUCCCAAGAGUCUGCCCGCUGGUGCAGGCAGCCACUGCCGAACACCUCUCAGAGGAGUGCGUACCACUCAGCGAUUUCACAAAACUCAAGGCAAAUCUUAAACCUCCCCCAGAAACCCACCCUGAGGUGAAAGGAAGCCUCGAGGCCCAAACAUCCAGUGUUUCAGAAAUUCAGGCUCUCGUCAAAAAUUUUGAGGGCAGCUUGCAGUCCCUACGCCUCAAAUUUCAAGAGACUUUGCAACUGUACGAUAAGGUAAGGGGGUGACUCUGGCAAUUUUACAAAAAGAAAAAAAAAAGAGGAAAGAAAGAUGGGGGUUUUUACUUGGAUGGGUGUGUGCCAGGUUUCUAAAAUGUGCUUUGUGCUACAUCAGAGAUGUCCAACCUCGGUCCCGUCAAGAUUUGUGGACUUCAACUCCCAGAAUUCCCCAACCAGCGGUGCUGGGAGUUGAAGUCCACCCAUCUUCAAUUGUAUGCUGGCUUAGGGAAAUUCUGGGAGUUGAAGUCCACGGGUCUUUUAAAGGGACCAAGGUUGGACACCUCUGUGUUAUAUUCUAAGAUACUCCUUUGAUCAUCUCUGUCCAUAAGGUGUGAUAAAACAAACAUGGCAGCACAUAUUGAAAAAUGUAGAGCUUUUAACCUCAUGGCCAUCUUGACCACCACCUCCUCCUAUCCCCACCCCAGUCACUUCGGGGGCAAGGAAAUCCUUGCUUCGCCCGGGCAUAGGCAGGGGGCCGUGCCAGAAAGCAUUCCCAAUGUUUCAGGUGUUGUCCGGCCCCAGUGGGACCAAGGAGGAGCUCGUCCAUGUCCAGCACAGGCUUUCUAGCACCUUCUGCUGGAUGAAGAGUGAGCUGGCGGCCAGAGACAGCAAUGGCAAGGCCGACGUUGCCACCGCCACCGACCCCUCGUCCUUCUGGCCGAUGUGCCUCCAGGAGGGUGAGGCCCACGCGCUCCUGAAGCACUACUCUGACUCUCUCCUGAACGUGGUUCAGAAGAAGCUGGAGGAGGCCCGGAAAACCAGCCUGCCUUGAAGGGCCCCCGUUCCUGCCCCGUCCGCACGUUGGCCACACACGGAGGUCCGUUUCAGUGGGACUCACGAGGAGCUGAGACCGUGUGACAUGAGCACCGAUUCACAUGUUGCCUUUUAGCACUUUGUUCACAUCCAUAGGAAAAUCUCAAAGGUUCGCCCAGAAACGCUGACAGUGUGAACACCUCCUUUUAUGGGAAAAGAAAUAAUAAUAAUAAUGUUUUUAUAAGACCAAGGAAAGAAGGAUAAAAUUCAAAAGGGGCAUCUUGAAAUUCUCCUAUGGUGGUUGUUUUAAACUCGGGUUGCAUCACGGCUUUGUAACCGUUUACUCUUUUUUUUACAAGGCUUUAAAUAUAAUAAAGUAUUUUUGGAUUUGAAAGAGA